CCCUUAGAUGUCCUGAGCCGCACGCGCGUUACACUGAUGCAUUCAACGAGCUUAUAACCUUGGCCGAGAGGCCUGGGCAAUCUUGUUAACGUGCAUCGUGAUAGGGAUAGAUUAUUGAAAUUAUUAAUCUUGAACGAGGAAUUCCUAGUAAACGCAGAUCAUCAAUCUGCAUUGAUUACGUCCCUGCCCUUUGUACACACCGCCCGUCGCACCUACCGAUUGGAUGGUCCGGUGAAGCCUCGGGAUUGUGGUUCUUGCCGCUUUAUUGUGGCGUGACCGCGAGAACUUGUCUAAACCUUAUCAUCUAGAGGAAGGUGAAGUCGUAACA
rnacentral:rRNA from 1 species